UAUCAUUCAAACCGCACCAGAGUUCGUUUGGAAGCGGACCGAGACCCAUCUUUUCAGCGGUCUCGGUCCGCUUGUUUGGUGCGCACCAGGGUUCGGAUUGCAGCGUUCACAUGUUCUAAAUGAACCGCACUAACCGAGCAAUCGCACCAUCGCACCAGGUGUGACAAACAUGACAAUUUACUCCUGAGUAAAUUCAGAUUUGUUUCUGAACCCAGGUGGGCCACAGCUGCAUUCUCACUUGCUAGUGGCUGUUUUGAAUGUGAUUCACUCGAGUCCCUGUCACAAGGAAGCCCUUUACUUGAUGUCAAUAACAGGAGGUGUGUUUGCAUAGUAGUAAUUGUCAAGAAAGAUUAGGUCGAAUAAUCUGAAAUGAAAAGAUAAUUUUGAUAAAUUACCACAAGUCACAAAAUCAAACUUGCAGGAAUGGACCUUAUGGGAGAAAACAGAAGAAACUCAUAAUUGUUUUUUCUGACCUAGUUUAGGAUCCAUAAACAGUGUCUUGCUUUUGGAAAUGAAAAGCAUCUAAUGGUUCUUGGGUCAUUCCAGACAGGCUUCUGUUGCUUGUUUUUGCUGCCCUCUAGUGUUUCCUCACUGUCACUUCAGGAAGGUCAGGGUGGAUUAGCACAGAACAUGGGUACAAAUCUCCAGGCUUUGGACCUCGUUCAAAUCAAUGUUACGUGAAGAGUGGGUCCAGAGGCUUCAAUUCCGGAACCAACACGUGAUCGAGACCAUGAGAGAGGAACAAAUAAGAAGAGCUCAGAGGGUUCAAGGGAUUUUAAGAGUUUAGACAUCAGCAUGAAAACUAAAAGCACUUCUCUAAAGCAUUUUACAUUCAUUAUACAAAAGCUGCACUGGAACGGUUCCCUUUAAAAAGGUUCUAAUAUUUACACUUUUCUUAUGUACCUUUGAUGUACUAAUAUAUGCACUCUUUAGGUACAAAGGUAUAGCUUUUGAAAGGGUACCACCCCAGUGACAGCUUUUACCUUUUUUCUGAGAUUUAUAUCUGUAUAAAAGUCAGCCUAUUUCUUUAACUUAACUAAAUAGUUUUCUGAUGUAGUGUUUGAGUCAGAAAGAUGCUGUUGCGGACAUGCAGGUACACUAAAUGUGAUCUUUCCUUCCAGCGUCUGUCUUUCAUAUAAGGCUUAUUGGGUUACAUAAUACAUUCUUACCGAUUUUUAUUUUUAUUAAAAUGUAAGUAUAAUUAU